GCCUGGGUGGCUCAGUCGGUUGAGCGUCCGACUUCAGCUCGGGUCAUGAUCUCACAGUCUGUGGGUUCGAGCCCCGCGUCUGGCU
rnacentral:tRNA from 1 species